UAUGGCCAUAUCCCGUUGAAACACCAGUUCUUGUAUGAUCACCAAAUUUAAGCAAUGUUGAGCCUGGUCAGUACCUAGAUGGGUGAUUGGUUGAGAAUAGCAGGUACUGUAAG